GCUAGUUGGUAAGGUAACGGCUUACCAAGGCGACGAUCAGUAGCCGACCUGAGAGGGUGAUCGGCCACAUUGGAACUGAGACACGGUCCAAACUCCUACGGAGGGCAGCAGUGGGGAAUAUUGCACAAUGGGCGAAAGCCUGAUGCAGCAACGCCGCGUGAGUGAUGAAGGCCUUCGGGUCGUAAAACUCUGUCCUCAAGGAAGAUAAUGACGGUACUUGAGGAGGAAGCCCCGGCUAACUACGUGCCAGCAGCCGCGGUAAUACGUAGGGGGCUAGCGUUAUCCGGAUUUACUGGGCGUAAAGGGUGCGUAGGCGGUCUUUCAAGUCAGGAGUGAAAGGCUACGGCUCAACCGUAGUAAGCUCUUGAAACUGGGAGACUUGAGUGCAGGAGAGGAGAGUGGAAUUCCUAGUGUAGCGGUGAAAUGCGUAGAUAUUAGGAGGAACACCAGUUGCGAAGGCGGCUCUCUGGACUGUAACUGACGCUGAGGCACGAAAGCGUGGGGAGCAAACAGGAUUAGAUACCCUGGUAGUCCACGCUGUAAACGAUGAGUACUAGGUGUCGGGGGUUACCCCCUUCG
rnacentral:rRNA from 1 species